UGGAUGGAUGCCUCGAUGCCUCUAUGGCAAAAGAGGCCCCACUAUUGUGUUUAACUCUUCUGGCCUCUAAUUUACGGCCAUCGGGCAUCAUGAGACUAAGUUUGAGAAUAUUAGCUCCCGGAAGCCCAAGGACUCUGCUGCUGGCAUUUCCCUGGCUCUCAAAAGUGGAAGUUGGCUAGUUCUUGUAGCACAAACUCAAGCUACUUCAUCUAAGCACAACUUCUCUGCCGACUCCUCCCCUGGCAGCUUGUGAUGCCUGACAGGUGGUCAUGGAUAGAUCCCUCCAAAGUGAAAAGUCCCCCCUCUUGCAGGGAGCGUUCUUGGCCUUAGCUUAGCAGCCAGGGAUGCAGCUGAACCAGAAGACCCCCAACUUCAGACCCCAUCCAGAGAGGGUGGGGACAUGGCCCAGCCCCUCAGGGUUGGGGCCCUGCCACCACCCCACCCACAAGCCCCGUGACAGGAACGCUGUGUGACCUGUGCUCUGGAAUGGCCCCUCCUCUUCAGCAUGUGCCCCAAAAUGGGAUGGUGUCCCAGGAGGCAGUCUCCAUCCCUCACUCAUCCAGGAGUCUCCCAGCCUGCCUGUGUGCUGGGCCAGGGCCUUGCCUUAAACAGCCUCCUCUACAGACACCUUUGCUUCCAUUAAACUUUGCUUCAGAAAGGUGGCCUCGGCUGUGGCCAGAGGCCAGUCUGACCUGGGUAAUCAGUGAUGGGAAACCAUCAAAGCUCCUCCAAAGCCCCCCAGCCACAGGACGAUUUGAGUAAAUAAUGACUUGUCCAUGUUAUUUGUUCACAUUCCUCUUUCUCAGCCCUAUUUUGGCCCCAAACACUAAUUUUGCCCAUGUUACAUAAUGAGGGAACUGCAUUCUUAGUAACCCACUGUCACUCUGCUGUGUUAUCUUGCCUACAUGAAAAAAUGAAAUAUUUUUAGAGUGUGAAUUUCCCAAACGUCCUCAACUAUUCUGGGACUGAAGUCACAACAUCACGAAGGGAGUGCGACGGUGGGAGGCCCAGCCUUCUCUGUGGCUGUGGCUGAGUCCCACCCAAGGGCUUCCGUUGCCACUGAGGCUGGGUUGGGACGUGCCCUAUCCUGCCGUGUCCCAGUGGCAGGUGGCUGUCUCUGCACAGGGCUUUCCACUGUCAGCAGCGGACUCCAGAGCCUAGGAGUACUCUUCAUUGAUUUUCUUGACUCCUGUUGUUACUCUGGGGAAAAAAACACAAGCAAUGGCCUGUCCUCUUAGGGACUCAAGUAGGAGGCUGAAAUCCCCACUGGGGGUUAGUCCAGGCAAGCAAAUUACCCUGAAUGAGUGUGUAGGCUCCCUCCCUGCCACUGAGGGACAUGGUAAGAAAGCUUCCCCAACACAGAUGUUAGCAGAGUUAAUGCUGUCCCAUCAGUAAAGCAAACCUGUCCAAAAUGCUCAGGGGUUUCAGGCCUUGCCAUCUGGCUGGGGAGCCAGACAUGUUUCUUUUGUGUGUUUAUCAGCUCCCCAGGUGUGUCCUGGUAGACAACUGCUCCCAGGAGCUGGCACAGAAGCAAACCUGCAGGAAAAGCCAACCCACUCCAGGCGUGUGGAAGCUGCUGGCAGGAGCCCAGCAAGGAUCCAGCUGGGUUGUAAUGGAAACAAUGCAACCAAAAAUCCUUGAGCGAGCCGGGAUAGAUGUGGCCUCGUCACUGAAGAUUUCAUCUGAGACCUCUGCAAAUAUCCAAAUUGUAUAUGCUCUCAGAGCAGAUCAUUUUCUCACAGCACUGUUCACAACAGCCAAGAUGUGGAAUCAACCAAAGUGUCCAUCAGCAGAUGAAUGGAUUAAAAAAAUGUGGUGCAUGGCCCGGUGCGGUGGCUCAUACCUGUAAUCCCAGUACUUUCGGAGGCCAAGGAACAAUGGAGUGCUUCAUGGUACUGAAGGAAGCGAGAGCUCUGCAAACAGAGGAAAGUGUCUUACAUUGGUUACUGAGAUGUUCAAAAGGGUUGCCUAUUACAUGCCAAAGAAAGCAACUGAUAGCAGGAGAAAUUGCCAGAUCCCUCAGAACAAAUGAAAGAAAUGUCUAAGCAACAGAGGAUGAUGUGGCCUGGCCUGGGCUAUCAUUAAGUGGAAAGAUGUGAAGCAUACCUCUUAUGUGGAAUUCUCAGCCCAGUGAUCUGAAAAGUCAAAAAAGGGAAGCAGAAAUAGGCAUGCUUUUGGUGUUCCCUCUGCCUGAAAUUGGACCUACUGCCUUUGAAUUAAUCCUUCAAAAUCCAGCUCAGAUAUUUCCCAACGGAAACUUUCUCAAAUGCUCCAGGAGAAUAUUAUGCUGAUCACAAAUCUGAAGAAUUUGUUCAUUUUCAUCCAUUGUAUUCUCAACAUACAUUACAAAGCAACAAAAAUAAUGAUAUAGAAGAAAAGAAUUCUCCUAAUUAUCGCAGAUUCUCCACUAAUUGACUUUGUACUGCCUUAAUGCACAGCUAAGACCAGAACCAGAACAAUGUUAACGGGAAGUGAUGAGGAAAGGCUCUCUUGUCUUGUUCCUGAUCUUAGAGCAAGAGCAUCAGUCUUUCUGCAUUAAGUAUGAUGUUAGACGUAAGUUCUCAUAAAUGCCUUUUAUUGUGAUAAAGAAGUUUCUUUCUGUUCCUGAUUUAUUGACAGGUUUUGUCAGGAAUGGAUACUGAAUUUUGUCAAAUGCUUAUAUUGAGAUAAUCACAUGGUUUUCAAUUUUUAUAUUGUUCAUGUGAUGAUUAACAGUGAUUAAUUCAGUGUUAAACUUUGUAUUGCUGGUACACUUUUUUACAUACUGGUGGAUUCAAUUUGCUAAUAUUUUGUUAAGGACUUUCAUAUUCAUUAAGAACACUGACCUAUAGUUUUCUCAUUAUUUUGUUUGUCUGGUCUUGGUAACAGAGUAAUCCUGAAGUUAUAAAAUUAGU